AUCCUGCUGACGAGUGUCCAAUAGGACGAAACACUCGUCAAACUGUAU
rnacentral:hammerhead_ribozyme from 1 species